rnacentral:sRNA from 1 species
GUCGAAGUGAUAAGCUUUUAAGGCCGUCUUAGGGGUGUCAAAAUGGGUAACCCAACUCAACUCAACGAGUUUAAAUCUUCUCAAUUUCAUUGCUUAUAUAUUUAAGAAAUUCGGAAAAAUAUUGAUUGUAUUAAAUUGGUUUAGAUGUGUUGGUUAAACUUAAAUCGGCAUUGGUUUAGAGAUUUUAGUUGGUUUAAUUUAUUUUUACAAAACUUGAUGGGUUAAUUGGGUAAACCAUUACAACCCAACUCAUUUUAUUCAUCAAACCAAUUGACUCAAUAACUCAUUUGACCCAUCAACUCAUUUGAGUUAAUAUUUUCAACUCAUUAGGGUUCAUGAGUUGAGUUGAGUUGAGUUGACCCAUGAAUUUUGAUCCAUUUUGACACCCCUAGGCCCGUCUACAUGAGAUUUAAAACGACCAGUCAUGGUUAGCAACCACACUGAAUAUUUUUAAUAUUUUAAAAUUUUAUUAUUUUAUGUACAAAGAUAUUUAUAAAACGGAAAAAAUAAUAUAUGAAAAAGAGAAAUGUAAAAUUUUGGAAAAUAAUAUA